rnacentral:rRNA from 1 species
AUUGAACGCUGGCGGCAGGCCUAACACAUGCAAGUCGAGCGGAUGAAGUGAGCUUGCUCCUGUAUUCAGCGGCGGACGGGUGAGUAAUGCCUAGGAAUCUGCCUGGUAGUGGGGGAUUACGUCCGGAAACGGGCGCUAAUACCGCAUACGUCCUGAGUGAGAACGUAGUGGAUCUUCGGACCUCACGCUAUCAGAUGAGCCUAGGUCGGAUUAGCUAGUUGGUGGGGUAAAGGCCUACCAAGGCGACGAUCCGUAACUGGUCUGAGAGGAUGAUCAGUCACACUGGAACUGAGACAAGGUCCAGACUCCUACGGGAGGCAGCAGUGGGGAAUAUUGGACAAUGGGCGAAAGCCUGAUCCAGACAUGCCGCGUGUGUGAAGAAGGUCUUCGGAUUGUAAAGCACUUUAAGUUGGGAGGAAGGGCAGUAAGUUAAUACCUUGCUGUUUUGACGUUACCAACAGAAUAAGCACCGGCUAACUUCGUG